rnacentral:tRNA from 1 species
GGUGGCUCAGUGUUAAGAGUGUUUGCCUUGCAUGCAUGAGGCCCUGGGUUCAAUUCCUCAGCACCA